rnacentral:piRNA from 1 species
UACGCUGCCUAAGGAAAGGGUC